rnacentral:rRNA from 1 species
GACGGAGGGUGCAAGCGUUGUUCGGAAUUACUGGGCGUAAAGGGCGCGUAGGCGGUCAGCACAAGUCAGUUGUGAAAUCUCCGGGCUUAACUCGGAAAGGUCAACUGAUACUGUGCGACUAGAGUGCAGAAGGGGCAACUGGAAUUCUCGGUGUAGCGGUGAAAUGCGUAGAUAUCGAGAGGAACACCUGCGGCGAAGGCGGGUUGCUGGGCUGACACUGACGCUGAUGCGCGAAAGCCAGGGGAGCGAAGCGGG